GAUGAACGCUAGCGAUAGGCUUAACACAUGCAAGUCGAGGGGCAGCAUGGUCUUAGCUUGCUAAGACUGAUGGCGACCGGCGCACGGGUGCGUAACGCGUAUGCAACUUGCCUCACAGAGGGGGAUAACCCGUCGAAAGACGGACUAAUACCGCGUACACUUGGGAUAGGGCAUCCUGACCCAAGGAAAUGAAAUUCGCUGUGAGAUAGGCAUGCGUCCCAUUAGCUAGUUGGUGAGGUAACGGCUCACCAAGGCGACGAUGGGUAGGGGAACUGAGAGGUUGAACCCCCACACUGGUACUGAGACACGGACCAGACUCCUACGGGAGGCAGCAGUGAGGAAUAUUGGUCAAUGGGCGAGAGCCUGAACCAGCCAAGUCGCGUGAAGGAUGACUGUCUUAUGGAUUGUAAACUUCUUUUAUACGGGAAUAACGAGAGCCACGUGUGGCUCCCUGCAUGUACCGUAUGAAUAAGCAUCGGCUAACUCCGUG
rnacentral:rRNA from 1 species